GCGCUCGUAGCUCAGGGGAUAGAGCGUCUGACUACGAAUCAGAAGGCCGCAGGUUCAAAUCCUGCCGAGCGCA
rnacentral:tRNA from 1 species